UAUCUGCAUUCAACAACAAUAGAGCUAACAGUACCUCAUUUGUCAGAAGUAACAGCAGAAGAACAGCUAUGUGUGAACCCCCACAUACACCAGGGUUCCCCAAGACCCUCUCUGACCGCUGCUUUUGUUCCUUAGAUCGUUUUCUCACACAUAGUUGUCUCUACUGGGUUUCUUUGAUGCCCAUUCACACCAUGUCCUGCAGUGGCACUCCCAGAUCACCACAGAGGGUCCCAAGGGACAGGGCACCUAUUUUCAAAUGUGGCACACACAUGUUCAGACGUACAGGUUUCUCAGACCUCACAGAGUGAACACGAGGUGUCUCAGAGGCUGAGCUCUGUGAAGGAAGAAGUCGGACAAAAGUUAUGUGGAUUUUUAUAAUAAACUUUUCAAGGAAAA